rnacentral:lncRNA from 1 species
CAUCCACUUUCUGUCUCUGUGGAUGUGGCUCCUCUGGGGACCUCCUGUGAGUGGACCACACAGUGCGUGUCCCUCUGUGUCUGGCUCACAUCCCUGAGCAUCACGUCCUCCAGGUCCGUCCACGUGGGAGCAGGUGUCAGAAUCUCCUUCCUUUUCAUGGCUGCAUAAUAUUCCAGGGUGUGGACAGACCUCGCUGUGAGUGUCCAUCAUCCAUGGCUGGAUGCUCGGGGUGCUUCCCCCUUUCCUGUGAAUCACGCUGCUCUGGACACAGCUUCUGGUGGUCGCUGGCAAUCGGCGUCCCUCGGCUCGGGGACGUGUCCCUCCAAACUCUGCCUCCGUCGUCACGCGGCCGUGUCCCUGUGUGUCUGCGUUCAAAUUCCCCUCUUCUUAGAAGGACACAGUCGUGGAUUAGGGCCACCCCGCUCCAGGACGAUUUCAUCUUCCCUCCAUCAGAUCUGCAAAGACUCCAUCUCCAAAUCAGGUCGCAUCUCUUCUAGAGAUUAGAAAUAAUUUGUGAAUCGGCAGAGACCGACAGCCCGGGAGAAGGAGCGAGGCCACAACGACGACGCGGGUCUCGACGGGAGAAAUGCUACGGCCCGGAGGGGCCGUCGGCCCCGAUAAUCAAGGAAUUCACCCAAAAGGAGAUGCCUUUUGUUUGUUUUUUGGGACGGCCUGCGCGACGGAUAGAGAUUUAAAUUGGCUACAAUGUAUACAUCCUUCAUAUAUUGUAUAUGAUACAUAUUGGUCAAAAAAGAAAAGCUUAAUUUUUUUUACCAAUGGUCUGAAUCAUCUAUUUUUAAAACGUUAUGCUAAGUAAAAUCAGUGAGUCAGAGAAAG